GAGGGAAGCGCUCAGACAGCAGACUGAACCACCCUCUACAUCUUUUGGAUGUCUUGAAAGACAAAACUCUCCACUGCGGUCAGGAAUAUCCACUGCUGGCUUUUCCUCCCAAACCACAGUCAUUAGUCAUGGUAUUAAAAGAAAACGUAACGAGUCUCCAGAUAUCACUGCACAGUCACCGAUGACUACAGGCAAGUCAA